GAAAUGCGAUAAGUAAUGUGAAUUGCAGAAUUCCGUGAAUCAUCGAAUCUUUGAACGCACAUUGCGCCCUCUGGUAUUCCGGGGGGCACGCCUGUCCGAGCGUCAUUGCGAACCCCUCAAGCACGGCUUGUGUGAUGGGCCCUCCAGCGUCUUGGUCGUCAAGACGGGCCCGAAAUGCAGUGGCGGCUUCGCGGUUAUCCGAUCAGCCAGAGCGUAUGGGGACUCUCUCUCUGUCACACGCCCGCGGCGCGGACCGACGCCUGUCGACCUUUAUUCAUCUUUUCUCGGUUGACCUCGGAUCAGGUAGGGAUACCCGCUGAACUUAAGC
rnacentral:misc_RNA from 1 species